AUUGAACGCUGGCGGCAGGCCUAACACAUGCAAGUCGAACGAGUGGCGGACGGGUGAGUAAUGUCUGGGAAACUGCCCGAUGGAGGGGGAUAACUACUGGAAACGGUAGCUAAUACCGCAUACCAUCGGAUGUGCCCAGAUGGGAUUAGCCAGUAGGUGGGGUAACGGCUCACCUAGGCGACGAUCCCUAGCUGGUCCGAGAGGAUGACCAGCGACACUGGAACUAAGACACGGUCCAGGCUCCUACGGGCGGCAGCAGUGGGGAAUAGUGCAAUAUGUGGGAAAGCCUGCGGCAGCCAUGCCGCGAGUCUGAAGAAGGCCUUCGGGUUGUAAAGUACUUUCAGAGAGGAGGCGGUACUCGCAGAGGAAGCACCGGCUAACUCCGUGCCAGCAGCCGCGGUAAUAC
rnacentral:rRNA from 1 species